rnacentral:lncRNA from 1 species
UUUUGAGAUCUUUGUGUAUCUUACUGGCUUUUCUACUAUCGGUAUUGUUUAAGUUUAUUCUUGUUUUCUAUUUUCUUAAUGCUUGUCAGGUAGGAUUGUUUAUCACAAAGCUUAGAGCAAUGGUUCCUGCUAAAGGUACCUCAUUUCUCAUAGAACUGAUAUAUUUUGUAUAAAACCCAGGAAAAGAAAGAAAAAAAGAAUUUGGGUUUCAUAGUUUUCUCGCUCUUCUAAUUUUCUUGUUGUUUAUUAGUAUUGGUUCUUUUGAUUGUUCAAGUGUUUGAUGUUUGAAUGCUGAGCUUGAUUGGUUUGACAAUUUCAUCUCUCCCUACAGAAAACUUGUCCAAAAGGAGGCUUCUUUCUCUUCUUCUCCCAAAAACUAUGCCCUCUGUCAAGCCAGACCCUAGUUUGCCCCUUCUUCUCUGUGUCUCACCCUUAUUUUAUGGGGCUGCCUAUCUGCCUGUUGUUCUGAUUUUGGCUAGAUCUCCCACAUUUGGACCAUUGUUGUAUGUGUUCUUGAUGCGGUUUGGUGGUAGAUCUAGUUAGAUCUCAUUUGGAUCUAUUUUCUGUGGAGGUGUACACCAAAACACAGAUCACAGGUAGACCAGGAGCUGCAAAACUAUGCGAUUACUGACUUCUUAUUUUCUUAUGAUUACAUCAAAUUAAGAUUGCUGCGAAGGGCUCCGUUUAUGAGGGUGUUUUAUGGUUUAUGUUGGGUUAGCUGGACUGGUUAGGGUUCUUUGUAUAAAUUUAAUUGUGUUGGUUGUGUCUGUAUGUGUGUG